UUUUAUUAGUUAUGGAAAUUCCAUAUUACUUAUUUCAAAACUUAUCAGGCGCGGUUGGUGUGUGAGCGUAGACUAGUAUUGUAUAAAAGCACGAAUAUGUGAGAGUGUAUUAGGAGUAUUUGUUUAAUUGUAAGUUGAGUAGUGAAAAUGAAAGCAUUGUCGGGAAAAUUGGGAAAGAAAGAGAGAGUAGUAGUAGUAAGGUUGCUGAAGGAGCAGAAGAAGCAAAUGGUUAUUGAGAUGCGAGCUAACGAUUUUAAUGGAAAUCGAAAUGGAAAUUUCUCCGUACUCUUUCUUUUCCUCCUUUUCAUUCUCAUCCUCUUCGUUCUUUAGUUUAAUUUCUUUCAUUAUCUUAACUAUACAUUUUAUUUGAUUCGUCUGAUCGUUUUUCCUUUCUAAUCAAUCAUUUUGAAAUCAAAUACUCACUUAUUCUUGUUGUUGUAAUUUUGGUGGUUGUUAGGGAUUUCUUUUUGGCUUUGGUUCGAACUGUUUGAUUUAGAACUAAUCUGUAUUUCUCUUUUCUUGGUGAUUAAUUAAGCUCUGGAUCUUAUUUUGGUAAUGGUCAAAUCGAUCUUGGUUAACUGGGUUUAGGGUCUGAGAGCCUUUGGCUGUAUCUAUUUUUUUGCUAGAUUUAUUAGUACAAAAAAAAUAUCUAUAUCUUUGGAUUUGACAUAUGUUUGUGCCAUUAUACUAAUACAAUCGUGUCUAUACUGUCAACUUUUUUGUGUACUUAAGGGUAUUCAUCCAUUCCUCUGCGAGAUUUUGUAAUUCCAGGGGGAGGUUUAUUCCUUUCUCUCUUUUUUUUCUUUUGACCUACCUUACUCAUCACAUAGCAAAGAAAAACAAUGACUUGCAGGCCUUGUAACAAGGAACCCNNNNNNN
rnacentral:lncRNA from 1 species